rnacentral:rRNA from 1 species
UGGGGAAUAUUGGACAAUGGGCGCAAGCCUGAUCCAGCCAUGCCGCGUGAGUGACGAAGGUCUUCGGAUUGUAAAGCUCUUUUGGCGGGGACGAUAAUGACGGUACCCGCAGAAUAAGCCCCGGCUAACUUCGUGCCAGCAGCCGCGGUAAUACGAAGGGGGCUAGCGUUGUUCGGAAUCACUGGGCGUAAAGCGCACGUAGGCGGAUUUGUUAGUCAGGGGUGAAAUCCCGGGGCUCAACCUCGGAACUGCCCUUGAUACUGCAAAUCUCGAGUCCGAUAGAGGUGAGUGGAAUUCCUAGUGUAGAGGUGAAAUUCGUAGAUAUUAGGAAGAACACCAGUGGCGAAGGCGGCUCACUGGUCCGGUACUGACGCUGAGGUGCGAAAGCGUGGGGAGCAAACAGGAUUAGAUACCCCAGUAGUCCCUGAGCGGGCUGGCAAGGCGCAU